UCGACUGUACUUGAACAGGAUCAGUUCUAUAGUUGAUACACCUUGUCUGAGUUCCUCAAACUUGGCAAGCUUCUCAGGAUGGAUGGCGAGUCGUAGCGGAUUGACCUGAGCGUGAUGUCUGCCCGCUGCUGCCCAAGCUUCCUGCUUGGGCUCGCGAGUGCUAGAAGAGUGCCCGCUCCGAGUAUCUAUACCGGACGGAUGGCCAGUUCCGCAUUCCGACAUCCU
rnacentral:snoRNA from 1 species